AGUGCGGUGGCCGAGUGGUUAAGGCGUUGGACUUAAGUUCCAAUGGACGUUUGUGCUCGUGGGUUCAAAUCCCACCCGCUCUA
rnacentral:tRNA from 1 species